GGCUCAGUGGUCUAGUGGUAUGAUGUAUGUAUCCACUCUAUGUGACAGGCCCCGGGUUCGAAUCCCGGCUGAGCCC